UUCAUCAACAUGUUUGAACUGUUGAUGUUUUAAUCAAUCUUAGGAUCAAUAAUAAAUGAUUCUUUUUUAGAUUCUCAUCAACCAAUAAUCAAUAACCAAUGGCAAAAUGGUCUAAAAAAAUAAAAAAAUAACAAUUUAUAUUAAGUAGAAAUUAGGUAAAGAAAAUAAAAAUCAAGAAAUGAUUAAAAGAUGGUCAGAACUAAAAUAAAAA
rnacentral:lncRNA from 1 species